rnacentral:misc_RNA from 1 species
AGAGAGAGAGAGAGAGAGGGUACUUGUGUCCUUGAUCAAGGAUCCAAACCAGAAACUUAUUGUUCUUGAAACAAAAUAACUAUAUUUUGAAAUAGAAAAAAGACAAAAGGCGAUGUCAUAGGGCCUCAAGAAUAAUAGGUUAUUAUUUACUAGAAAUGACAUUGUGCGAUAUAAGACCAAAAUGACAAGAUUUUGAACACCGACAAUAGAGGAUAAAAGAAAGGAAAAAAAAAAAAAA